ACCUUUGACUGCCUGAUGAAGACCUAUGGAUUCCUCACUCCUGACUUCUGGAGGGAGACAACCUUCACCAAGGCGCCGUACCAGGAGUUCACCGACAUCUUGGCGAAGCCGACCAAGGCCCUGAUGCUUGAUGCACCAGCUGAGAAGAUAGAAGCUUAGGAUGAAGGGUUUUUACUAGCUGGGAGCUGUCUGUUGCACUUUGCUUUAUUAUAGUCGAGAACCAGGUGUCUUUGAAUUGUGCUACUUGUGGAAGUCUCUGUUUGCUGUCAAAGUUUUGGAUUAUGGUGCAAUGCUACUCUGUUAUUGGCAAUGGAUGCUACAUAAUUAUGCCAAUUGCAGUGUUAUUUGUCUAGAUGUUUGAUUUUUGGUCUGAGCUUUGUGUUGAUUUUCUCCAUUGCCUCCUGCUUUGUUUGUGUUGUUUUCUAAACUGUCCAUUCUGGUGCAGUGUGUUUGAGCAAAGUUUGACCUGUUAACCAGUGUGGUAGUUUGGCUGGUGUGAUUUCAGCAGCCUUGCCUUUUAUAUGUGAUAUUUUCUUCAUCCUAUUCAACUUGCUGGAUAUGAUUUGAUUAGUUUGUGAUUCUAAUCAGGAGGUAGCCGAGCCUUUCUAAAACCCCCCGAACCUGGGUGAUCUAUCUAUGACCAGGAUGAAGCUUGGAACACAAGUAAAUUUACAUGGUGGUGGUUGGCUGUGCCACGCCGUCGUUGUUGCGCCGCUGCAGGUUGAUGAUCUAAUAACUGAAUUUAGUUUUCAGACUUUUUAACUGAAUUAGCCAAUGUCGUUGUAGCAUGCCACUCACUACUCGUACAUUGUAAGGCUGGUCAUAGUGGGAGUAACAUAGGUAGUAACAUAGAUGCCACAUAAGCAAAAAUGAUGAUGUGGCAAGUAGUUAAUGAGGAGAGAGGCAAAUAGAGUAUAUUAAUGUGUUACCAUCACAUAGCGGUUUCCAAUGCAUAAUGAGUCUACAAAGUAAUAAAUGAAGGCAACUAUAUUACCACACCUAUGACACUACCCACUAUGAAGGUAGUAACAUAGACUAGUAACAUAUGUAUGUUACUAGUCUAAGUUACUCCCCACUAUGACCAGCCUAAUACUUAACCGAAUCUAGUUUGGCGAAAGAGAUUGAGCAAUCCAGUUACUACUUGUUCAUUUGACAAAAUGUUCCAUAUGCUUGAUUGAAUGCUAUGUAUAUAAGUGAGUGUUCUAGUAAUCUACUUGUGCAACAGUGCGAGUGCAGAAUUAAACAGAACCGAAUUGAAUUUGAGCAUCUGCAUACUUCUGAACUAAACUAGAUGCCAAAUGUUAACUGAAAUUUUACUAAAGUGAAUGCAAAUUGUUGCCCAGAACUGAACCCCAACAUAAGUGGAUGGCAACUAGUGCCCAUAAUUCAAUUGAACUGACCAGCAAAUUUGCCAAAACCAGGCUUGUUUACAUCCUGAUUCAAGUUAAGAGUACAUGAUUGCCCAGAAAGAGUAGCAUUUCACCAGUGAUUGGUCCCUGUUCUAUCUCCCUUUGAGGAAUGAAACUGCAGCGAUAUAUUACUUUUGCUUAGAGUUCUUCUGAAAAUGUUCUUUGAGUGCUCUCUGAAAAUGUUGUUACUUUUGCUUGCUGCUUUCCUUUUACUAGACUGCGCUGAAACAAUACUAGUAGUAGUAUAUUGUCAUAGUAUACCUCCAGAUUUAGGCAGAAGAAACACGGUCAUUUCUGGUACUGUUCCUUGGAGUGCAUUUGCUCUAUACCUCAAAACAUGUAAAUGGUCAUUGCUUAUUAAUUAAGGAGCUAGACUUCAGUACCAUAUUUUUUUUUUGAAACGAGGCAAAAGAUUUGCCAUUUUCAUUGAUUAAGAAGAAGAGAAUUGCCCGGUUAAUUGACGGAAAACCAGGCUAAAACCGAUACAACUCAACCCACAUGACAUGGGCACCACCGGCCAACCUGGCCACCAACAUGGGACACAAAGUUGCAAAGAAGAAAGGCACUCGCCGAGGAGCCGCAAGCGUCAUCGUCAUCACCGGUUGCCUUGAACGAGCGACUCCGACUUCACCAUAGAGCUUCAACCUUGAAGCUAACCCGCAAACAGCUGCAUAGAAGCCACGACGGCACAUGCCACCGGAUGGCCACACGCGCAAGCAACCGACAACUCCGACUUUGACGACGAGCCUCACCAGUGAAAUAUGCAGGACUUGCGCCGACCAUGCCCUAAGAGCACCUCGGACACGCCGGGAAGAACCGUCUAUCGAAGUCCACGCCGCGACCCGAGCUCCUCUCGACGCCAUCAUCGUUGCCAAACAGAAACCAGCGCCCUGCCUCAGCAAACCACACGGCAAAGAUGCCGCCAACCACGGCGAAGAUGCCGCCAUCCACCAGUCUCCCAGUCGUAGCCGGCUCCGAGACGAUGCCCCCAAGGAGGAGAAAGACGCGAAGACGCCUCCAUCGCCCGAACCAGCGGAUCUGAGGUUUCCCUCCGAAGCCCAAGCCGUGGGGAGGAGGAGCACACCUUCACGACGACGCUUCCAAGAAAAAUCACGGCACCCUCGGGCACCGCCGUCGCCGGCUCCGAAGAAGGCCAGAGCAAAGAUUUCUCCCGAAGAUGCACCGACCACCCGCCACCACCGACCGCCGCCCACCCUCCACCACCUGCUGAGGCCGACCUCAUUCUGGCCGCGGGAUCCCACGAUCCACCGCGACCAGACACGCACCAUCCCCUGGCCGAAGCCGCCGUCCACCACCGCAGCACCACCAUGGCUACCACCACCGCAGCGACCAAAGCCACAUCGCGAAGCGCAGCAUCCAGAUCGAUGCACCUCGCAUCAGAUCCAAUCGGAGCUGCUCAGGCGAAGAAGCAGAGCAGCCAGCAGGCAGUCCCUCCAUAGCACACCUCGCACCCUAGACAAGCCCACCCGCCACGCUCAGCCGGUCACCCCGCCCGCCGCGCGCCUUCCGCCGUCGCGCCAGGCCGGUCACCGCGCCCCACGCGCACUAGCCAGAACCGAGCCGCCGCCGGGCGCACGCACGCCGUCCACGCCCAAGCCACGCUGGAGCCCGGGCCGAGGCCGCCGCCCCGGCGUCCCUUCCGCCGUCCGCAACCGACGCCAGAUGCGCGCCGCCGAGCCGUCACCCCACGGCGCCAGAGCCGCCGCUGCAGGCCGGCCACGCCUGCACACCACCAGAUCCGGGCGGGAGGGCCCUGGAUCCGUCGCCCCCGCCGGAGGAGAGGAGCUCCAGCCCGCCGGCGAAGGGCUCGCGACGACCAUGCGCUGGCGCCGCACGAGCCAGCCACGGGCUACCCGCGCCCUGGAGAAGAAGCCCCGCCGCCGCCGCUGCCACACGGGCUUUGCCCGGCGGAGCAUCCCGGCGGCGGCGAGGGGGGAGGACGACGGCGGAAGCCGCUGCCGGUGGUGGCUCGGGCCUGCCGCCCGUGUCGCUCGUGCGGAGCGACGCGGGGGCCCUUCAGAAAUUCAGUACCACAAAUUAGAUGACACUUGAUCAUUCUUCUUCGAGAGAAGCAACCAUAGCCCAAUAGAAUGACUUUAGGCUCUAGGAAAUAGAAUUAGUACCGGGGAAACAAGCUUCACGGUGUGUAGAAGGACCAAAUAGGCAUACUAGCGACUCAGGCUUUUAAUUAGUCAUUCUAGAAUCAUUGUACUUGUACCAACGCCUCCUCCUCGACCGGGACUCCAUCUACUCCGUCGUCCCCUCCGCCACCUGAAGCAGGUAGCCAAUCUCGCCUGUUGUUGUUAUGAUCUGCCUUGUUUAUAUUUUAUCUGCAAUUUACAUUGAUCUUGUUGCAAGAAAAACCAUGGAUGGAGAUGAUACCUAAUUAAGUUAAAUCCACAAUAUCCGUCCAACAUCAUACCUAAUUAAGCACAUGCAAUAUAUUCUCUUUGUAAUUAGAAACAUACUCUCUUUGGGCCAUGGUUUAUCUGCAAUAUAUUAUCUUUCAGUACAUUAUGUGUCCAUGGUGAGGAAUGUUUGCUGCAAAUAAGAAAAUAUAUUUAGUUAGGAGGUGUGGAGUGAGGAGCUCCUAAGUCUCUAGAGCUCUAUCCAUAACCAUGUUCUCUGUUCCACAUUUCAUCUCAAUUUCCGUUGUUUUUGCAUUUGUACAUUUACAGUCAAUAUUAUUCUGCUCAUAAUCACUUACUUUUAGUUAGCACGAACACUUGUGAACUGUCUUACACACCGGUAAUGUUGGUACAGUACUAGCACAGUCCAUUGGUCAACUAUAUGUAGUACUUAGUUGACUAUUUUUUCAUAAACGAGCAACAUACUAUUUACGACCCAGUCCUAGCGAGAUACCAUGCUACUGCUUCUAGUUGGUUGUGAGGUAUGGAAUACUGAUUAAUUAGAUAAAAGAAGAUAACAUUGCAAGACUUAGUCUGGUGUUUGUCACUUCAGUGCAAGUUGAACAAAAUGCUAGUAGGAUCCCUGUGGUAACUUUUGUGAAUACUUCACUUGCCGAAAUACGAGUGUGCUUGCUGUAGCCUAAGCUUGUCGACCAAGCUUUAUUUUCUUCAAAUGUUUGAUUGAAAAUGUAUUGCCUUUUUAAACAGCUCAACUCGUUUGUUAUUAGAAGCUAUUCAUGUUUUCAAUUUGUACAUCUAAUACAUUUUAGAUUUGUUCAAUCCUGGCAUGUGUUCUAAUAUACUCCCUCCGUCCGGAAAUACUUGUCAUCAAAAUGGAUGAAAAUGGAUGUAUCUAGAACUAAAAUACAUCUAGAUACAUCAAUUUCAAUGACAAGUAUUUUCGGACGGGGGGAGUAUUUCCUGUUAUUCAUCUAUUACAACCAUUUAGACACUUCUUGUUAAGAAUCUAUUCUUGCAGAGUGAUACCUGUGGCGUAUUACAAGCAUUGUAGACAUUUCUUGUUGAGCACUGACUUGUUCUCUUCUCUGUUUAUACUAUGCAUGCCAUGUUCUGUUUUAUUUCUCAUGCUGGCAGUGGUAAAAUUAACCAAUUUAUGAAGUUGUAGUUCUUUUCAUCUGUACAGCUGACGAUUCUAACUUCUAUCUGGUUCAAUGCAUUCUUGUUUGGAUUGACUAGUUGCAAACAUGAGCUAAUAUAAAUUCUUUUGUUCCCAGGCUACCUUUGACUGCCUGAUGAAGACCUAUGGAUUCCUCACCCCUGACUUCUGGAGGGAGACAACCUUCACCAAGGCGCCAUACCAGGAGUUCACCGACAUCUUGGUGAAGCCGACCAAGGCCCUGAUGCUUGAUGCACCAGUCGAGAAGAUAGAAGCUUAGGAUGUCGGCGUGAAGGGUUUUCACUAGCUGGGAGCUGUCUAAUGCUCUUUGCUUUAUUAUAGUUAAGACUUUUGAAUCGUGCUGCUUCAGGAUGUCUCUGUUUGCUGUCAAGUUUUGGAU
rnacentral:lncRNA from 1 species